rnacentral:rRNA from 1 species
UACGAAGGGUGCAAGCGUUAAUCGGAAUUACUGGGCGUAAAGCGCGCGUAGGCGGUUUGCUAAGUUGGAGGUGAAAGCCCCGGGCUCAACCUGGGAACUGCCUCCAAAACUGGCUGACUAGAGUACGGUAGAGGGUGGUGGAAUUUCCUGUGUAGCGGUGAAAUGCGUAGAUAUAGGAAGGAACACCAGUGGCGAAGGCGACCACCUGGACCGAUACUGACGCUGAGGUGCGAAAGCGUGGGGAGCAAAC